rnacentral:tRNA from 1 species
GCUGGAAUAGCUCAGUUGGGAGAUCGUUAGACUGAAAUUGUUUACGCAACAGUCAUCUAAAGGCCCCCGGUUCAAUCCCGGGUUCCGACA